rnacentral:rRNA from 1 species
UACGGAGGGGGCUAGCGUUGUUCGGAAUUACUGGGCGUAAAGCGCACGUAGGCGGCUUUGCAAGUUAGAGGUGAAAGCCCAGGGCUCAACCCUGGAAUUGCCCUUAAAACUGCAUCGCUAGAAUUGUGGAGAGGUAAGUGGAAUUCCGAGUGUAGAGGUGAAAUUCGUAGAUAUUCGGAAGAACACCAGUGGCGAAGGCGACUUACUGGACACAUAUUGACGCUGAGGUGCGAAAGCGUGGGGAGCAAACAGG